UCCCUCGUGGCGCAAUUGGCUAGCGCGUUCGACUGUUAACAGACAAUUCUGAGGCUAUCGAGAGGUUGGUGGUUCAAGCCCACCCGAGGGAG
rfam:Glarea lozoyensis 74030 unplaced genomic scaffold M7I_scaffold7, whole genome shotgun sequence.